GAAAGGAGAGUGCCCUGUGCAGCAUGAACAGUAUGGCAUCCUCCACACCCAUAUGCGCUCGAUAGGCAAACUGUAAAGGAUCUAAAGCAGACUGUAG